UACGUAGGGUGCAAGCGUUGUCCGGAAUUAUUGGGCGUAAAGAGCUCGUAGGCGGUUUGUUGCGUCGGCUGUGAGAUCCCGAGGCUCAACCUCGGGUCUGCAGUCGAUACGAGCAAACUAGAGUGUUGCAGGGGAGACUGGAAUUCCUGGUGUAGCGGUGAAAUGUGCAGAUAUCAGGAGGAACACCGGUGGCGAAGGCGGGUCUCUGGGCAACAACUGACGCUGAGGAGCGAAAGCGUGGGGAGCGAACAGG
rnacentral:rRNA from 1 species